rnacentral:sRNA from 1 species
AAAAAGAAGAACCACAUGAUCCAUUAUGGAAUAAAUAUAAAAUAAUUUGUUCCGUAAUGCCAUUGCAUCCAUUCAAAGCCUUUAAAUCUAUUGAGAACCAACUCUAUAAACCGUCUUUACAAAAAAA